CCGGCACCUGCGGCUAAGUGAAGAAACCCAAAACAGAAAGAUUGAUCGAGAGCAGGACAGAAGAGUCCUCCCUGAGGAGUGGCCCCAGUGGAUCCCCAGAUUCCCACAGAAGAUUCAGACAGCGAGAGAGAGGAGCCUCCAACAACGAGUGGCGGCCCAAGGUACCUCCAGACAUUUCCAAAUCAAGAACCGAUAGAUCUUUAAGGACAGUCAUUGAAGUGUUCACUUUUAAUGAGAUGUCACUGUUUGGAUUCUCUGUCUGAUAUGUGUAAAUGUGGCUCAAACUUGAAUCUAAUCUUGCAGAGUCCGCCUAAUACCCAUUGUGAAUAUGAU